CUACUGCACAUCGCAGUACUGCAACUGAUAUUAGCAGCAGCUGUGAGUGAGUCUGUGACAAAGUGAUGAAGAUUUUGUGUAUACCUCGUUGAGGUUGCCGAGGUGGCCGAUCCUGAAGACCUUCCCCGCGACCUUGUUGAGGCCGAGUCCCAGGCUGAGGUUGUACCGCUUCCAGGCGUGCUUGACGAUCUCGGCGCUGUCGAUGUAGGGCGGCACCACGACGGCGGUCACCGUGUCGCUGAAGUUCUCCUCCUUCUGCGUGCAGUUCUUGAGCCCCCACGCCUCCACAGCCAUCCUACAAUCCAAGACACGCAUCAUUCAAUAAUUCUUCAAAGAUAAGAUCUUUGUCAGUGAAAUUUCCGCAGGGAAUACACGUACCUUGUGGCGGUGCCGAGGCGGGUGUGCCUCUUGAUGACGUUGUCGAGGCCUUCCUCGAAGAUGAGGUCGAGCCCGGCGCGGAGGCCGUAGAGGAGCUGGAUUGAAGGCGUGUAAGGCCAGUAUGUGCCCAUCUUGUAGAACUUGAGGUAGUCCUUCCAGUCGAAGAAGACCCUGACGGACUUGGCCGUCUUGCUUGCCUCGAGCGCCCUCGGGCUGGCGCACACGAUCCCCAGCCCCGUCGGCAGCGACAGCGCCUUCUGCGACCCCGUCAG
rnacentral:lncRNA from 1 species